UCCUAGUGUAUGCAAAAGUUGCUGCAGUUAAAACGCUCCUACUCGGUGAUGUGGGCAUUUGCGACACCCGCUUUUAGUGUGUGUGUUGUGACGCCCUUCUGCGCUGUCCUUCGGGGCAGUGCCGGUUACCAUGAUUAAAUUUUAGUGCUCAGAGCAAGCUUUAUGCAGCUGAAAAACUUAGCAUGGGAUAACAAGUCACGACUUGUCGCGAUUUGUUGGUGUUUUCGACGGAGUAAUGAGAAAUAGGGGCGGUUGGGGGCCUUAGUACGAUGCCGUUAGAGGUGAAAUUCCAAGAUCGGCGUCAGACUAACUGAAGCGAAAGCGUUGGCCAAGGACGCUCUCAUUGA
rnacentral:rRNA from 1 species